rnacentral:rRNA from 1 species
CCAUAGUUAUGGGAGGGGAACCCGGAGAACUGAAACAUCUAAGUACCCGGAGGAAAAGAAAGAAAACUCGAUUCCCCCAGUAGCGGCGAGCGAAAAGGGAAAAGCCCAAACCGGAAAUAUCCGGGGUUAGGACAUUCAAAAAGUAUCAGAGCCCAGUCGAAUGGUGUGGGAAAAUCAGCCAAAGAAGGUGAGAGCCCUGUAGACGAAAGGUAAAGAUAUGGGAAUGAAUCCAGAGUAGCACGGAGCACGAGGAAUUCCGUGUGAAAGAGCGGGGACCACCCCGUAAGGCUAAAUACUCCUUAGCGACCGAUAGAGAACAAGUACCGUGAGGGAAAGGUGAAAAGCACCUCGGAAGAGGAGUGAAAGAGAACCUGAAACCGUAUGCUUACAAUCAGUCACAGCCCUUAGGGGUAGUGGCGUACUUUUUGUAGAACGGACCAGCGAGUUACAUAUACUAGCAAGGUUAAGAAAUACGGAGCCAAAGCGAAAGCGAGUCUGAAAAGGGCGAAAAGUUAGUGUGUGUAGACCCGAAACCAGGUGAUCUACCCAUGAGCAGGUUGAAGCGUUAGUAAAAUAACGUGGAGGACCGAACCAGGACACGUUGAAAAGUGUUUGGAUGAGCUGUGGGUAGCGGAGAAAUUCCAAUCGAACUUGGAAAUAGCUGGUUCUCUCCGAAAUAGCUUUAGGGCUAGCCUCGUUGUGAGUUUACUGGAGGUAGAGCACUGUUUGGACUAGGGGCCCAUCCCGGGUUACCGAAUUCAGACAAACUCCGAAUGCCAGAUAAAUAUCAACGGGAGUCAGACUGCGGGUGAUAAGGUUCGUAGUCGAAAGGGAAACAGCCCAGACCGCCAGCUAAGGUCCCAAAUUGUAUGUUAAGUGGAAAAGGAUGUGAUGAUGCACAGACAACCAGGAUGUUGGCUUAGAAGCAGCCACCAUUUAAAGAGUGCGUAAUAGCUCACUGGUCGAGUGACAUCGCGCCGAAAAUGUACCGGGGCUAAACAUACAACCGAAGCUGCGGAUAUAACUAAUGUUAUAUGGUAGGAGAGCGUUCUAACAUCGUAGAAGCCGAGCUGUAAGGCGAGGUGGAGAGGUUAGAAGUGAGAAUGCCGGUGUGAGUAGCGAAAGAUAGGUGAGAAUCCUAUCCACCGAAUGACUAAGGUUUCCAGAGGAAGGCUCGUCCGCUCUGGGUAAGUCGGGACCUAAGGUGAAGCCGAAUGGUGAAGCCGAUGGACAACAGGUAGAAAUUCCUGUACCACCAAAUAUCGUUUGAGAGAAGUGGGGACAGAGGAGGCUAAUUGAUCGUCCUGAUGGAAUAGGACGUCUAAGCACAAAGGUUGAGUAGUAGGCAAAUCCGCUGCUCAUAAGACUGAAGUGUGAUGGGGAGCGAAAUAUAGUAGCGAAGUCAAUGAAGCCAAACUCUCAAGAAAAGCCGCUAUCGAGAUAAGAGGUGCCCGUACCGCAAACCGACACAGGUAGUUGGGAAGAGAAUUCUAAGGUGAGCGAGAGAACCAUCGUUAAGGAACUCGGCAAAAUGACCCCGUAACUUCGGGAGAAGGGGUGCCUACGAGAGUAGGCCGCAGUGAAUAGGCCCAAGCGACUGUUUAACAAAAACACAGGUCUCUGCAAAACCGUAAGGUGAAGUAUAGGGGCUGACGCCUGCCCGGUGCUGGAAGGUUAAGAGGAGUGCUUAGCGUAAGCGAAGGUAUGAAUUGAAGCCCCAGUAAACGGCGGCCGUAACUAUAACGGUCCUAAGGUAGCGAAAUUCCUUGUCGGGUAAGUUCCGACCCGCACGAAAGGCGUAAUGAUUUGGGCACUGUCUCAACGAGAGACUCGGUGAAAUUUUAGUACCUGUGAAGAUGCAGGUUACCCGCGACAGGACGGAAAGACCCCAUGGAGCUUUACUGUAGUUUGAUAUUGAGUGUUUGUGUCACAUGUACAGGAUAGGUAGGAGCUGAAGAAUCCGGGACGCCAGUUUCGGAGGAGGCAACGGUGGGAUACUACCCUUGUGACAUGACCACUCUAACCCGCACCCCUAACCGGGGUGGGAGACAGUGUCAGACGGGCAGUUUGACUGGGGCGGUCGCCUCCUAAAAUGUAACGGAGGCGCCCAAAGGUUCCCUCAGAAUGGUUGGAAAUCAUUCGAAGAGUGUAAAGGCAGAAGGGAGCUUGACUGCGAGACCAACAAGUCGAGCAGGGACGAAAGUCGGGCUUAGUGAUCCGGUGGUACCGAAUGGAAGGGCCAUCGCUCAACGGAUAAAAGCUACCCUGGGGAUAACAGGCUGAUCUCGCCCGAGAGUUCCAAUCGACGGCGUGGUUUGGCACCUCGAUGUCGGCUCAUCGCAUCCUGGGGCUGAAGCAGGUCCCAAGGGUUGGUCUGUUCGCCCAUUAAAGCGGUACGUGAGCUGGGUUUAGAACGUCGUGAGACAGUUCGGUCCCUAUCCACCAUGGGCGUAAGGUAUUUGAGGAGAGCUGUUCCUAGUACGAGAGGACCGGAAUGGACGAACCGCUGGUGUACCGGUUGUGGCGCCAGCUGCAAAAGCCGGGUAGCCAAGUUCGGGAAGGAUAACCGCUGAAAGCAUCUAAGUGGGAAGCCAACUUCGAGAUGAGAUACCUGACCUCGCAAGAGGGUAAGCAGCCCGCGAGACGAGCGGGAAGAUAGGCCGGGGGUGUAAGCGCUGAGAGGCGUUGAGCUGACCGGUACUAAAGCUGCGAGACUUUACUCUC